UUAUUUGUAAACAUCUUUAAAACAAAGUUCAUAUAAGCAAAUGCUAAUAUUUCAAAAAAAAUUUUGGAACAAUCCAUUGACACGUGACAUUUAAUGGGCAUUUAAAACAUUUCCUUCUACAUUGGAUUCUCUCCUGUAAAGCUAAAAAGCAAGUUCUUCUUUUUAUCCAUGAGGGUGCCUGUUAGGGUUGGAGGGUAAGAGACACAGCCCAUCUGUCUUUUUUCACUCCUCCCACUCAGUGUGCUAACCUCUUCGGCAGAGCAGGACCAUGGGAACAAUAGAAACACUGGGUUUUCUAAAACUGCGCUCUGUAAAGGAUUGAUUGGUGACUUGACAAAAACUACAUCUGCUUGACAUUCUCUGGAGAAAUGCACAAGGCCACACAGAAAAAUAUCCCCUACUUCCAAGAGGAUUUCUCUAUGCAGCACCCACUGUCCUAGAGUACACUGUGUAGACCAGGUUUGCCUCCUGAGGCCUGGCAUUAUAGAUGUACAACACCAAGUCGGCUUGCCUCUCUGAAGGCCGGCUGGGAAGAUGAGUCCCAGGAGAACCGUGGAAACCCCAUGUUGCACAAGGGCGGGGCCUCCAUCUCUUCCCCUUCCCUGACCGGCUGCUCUGCCAGCUUCUUCACAUGUUCUUUACUGUUUUUUGAGCAAGAAAUGAACUUCUGCUGGGUCUGUUGGCAUGCUUUUCCGUAUCUGUGGGCCAUUUGGAUCUUUUGUACUCUGUAGUAGCACUUACUUGGAUAUUAAUAGUCAUACACUCUAAGUGAUUUCCCGGUUUCUUAUUAUAUUUGAAACUUUUAAGAUGGUGUCUUUGUUAUUUUUACCUUUAUGAAGCAUCUGCCAAUCUUUUGUCUUCACCCUGAGACAAAUCUUCCUACUUCAAGGUUGGACAUACAGCCUCUUCAUUUUCUUCUGCAUACAAAUGUGUGGACAAAGCAGAGACAAUCAAGGUCCAGCCAGCUCUCAGCCCUCCCUCAGUCAGCACCCAGCCAGACUUGAAACCCAGCUUGCCUUGGGAUUGAGUGUAGUCGUGCUUUUAACAGAGCUCUGCCGAAAGGAGUGUGUCGAGAAUAGAAAGGCAGUGUUUGGGGCUGGCCUGGCUCGUAUACUCCUCUCUGUUGUCUGACUGGGAGGCUGACGAGUCGUCUGCUGAAGAUGGAGGGACCUGGAUAUGGAAAUAACAGGAGCAGACAUUGGUGCCUUACACACCGCGGUGAAGGCGAAUGGUAGCCAUUGCUGCUUUCGGCACACCUUGUUUUUUCGCCAGUUCUGAAAGUGACACAGAGGAUGACAAAAGCUCGGAUUGCAGAAGAUGGAUGAAAGCCAUUUUAACCAGCACAACAGUUUGCGGCUACGAGAACGGCUCCGUGAGUGUAGAAGCCGCCAAUCACCAACCAUGCGGUCACGAUGCAUCUAACGAGACUGGGCACUAAUGGCCCUGGGAACAAUGAGGCAAAUUACCAAGUUCCACUAAAAUGUUUCUCCACUUAUCUUCAAUUAUUCAGACCCAAUCUAAUUUCCUUCAAAAUUAAAUGCGGUGGCUCCAGUUAACUUGUGCGACUGAACGUUUAACAACUGUCCCUGCACGUGACUUUGCUGAGAAAGGACGGGCAGGCUACUCCACAUCGGCUCUGAAACACAGCAGUUCCCUGGACAUGUUAAGACAGCGGGUCACAGAAGGCGCAUAGCUGGGCAUUGUCCCCGAAUGCUAAGACUUAAGGAGUCUCUAAACUACCCUCUUCCCAACUGUGCUGCCCUCCAGCCAUCUAACCGCUUCUUCAGCAGCUGCCCCAAGCUCCUGGCCACUUUUGUCUAAACAACUAGGUACCUGGACACAGACAAAGCAAAGACCUGAGGUGAAAGUCUGGGAGGACAGAGCACUUAGGAGUAACGAUGCACAUUCGGUUUUCACAGGCAGCUGUCACAGAGCUGUCACCCACAGCUGGAUGUCGGGGAGGGGGGCGCACUUCUGGGAUCUACAUCCAGGAGCCAGGCACAGCUAGUUGUCAGGGAAGAACGGUGAAUAGCUUGGUGCUCCUCCCAGCUGGGCUUCUGUGGACGUUAGGGGCCACUGACCUGAGUGCCUCCUAGUUCUCCUCUCCUUCUUUAUCUCCUGUUGCUUUUUCUGUAACCUGCUCUUUCCUGGUCUCUUUGUUGCCCUCUGGGGUCCCAGCUGCAUUAUCAUCUGUCUUUGGAAAAAUUGCAUUUAGUAGAACCAGAACUGUCCCAUUUAAUAGUGUUCCCGUGGGAACAACCCGCCUUAAUGAAGUUAUGAGUGUUUUGGGUGGUGUGACUUUUUCUUCAGAGGGCAUGAGUUGAUCUCAUCAGAAGGGACGAUCUACUUGUUUUAGUCUUCAAAGGCCUGUGCAGCCCUCACACGCAGCCAUUUCUCUGCUUUCUAUGGAAGAGGCCCACACUAAAUGAAUAAUUGCAAGUCAUUUGGCAUUAGAUUAACAUUAUGAUUUAUUUUAUCAAUUGCUAUUAGUUUGUACUUGCAGUAUUUCCCUAGAGUACACAACAAACUCUUCUAAGUCCAACUAGAGACACCUAGGGCUGGAGAUGAAGCCAAAGGGAAAUGAAGACCGUUCCCAAAGUAAAAAAUUCAACAUGCAGUCAGUCAGUACGCACUGCUGUCUUCCUGUAGCCAGCCAAAGAGAGUUUCGAGGGUUUUGGUGUGGAGGUGCCAGCUUGUAACCCCGACUCAGGAUCCAGGGCACAAGAUUGCCUUUAGUUCAGACCCAGGCGUGUCACCCUAAGGAGCCCAGCAAGGGCUGCACAGCAAGACCUCAUCUGAGAAAACAGACAAACAAACAAAGAAAACCAGAGGAAACAGCAUAAAGAAUUGGGGAGGACCAGCAGCCCUGGCUUCCCGCUGGACGUACUGUGCCUUUUGGUGGCCAAAUGCCCUUUGUCCAGUGUGGAACUUUGUCAACCAUGGCCACUGCUGUGAUGGCUCACAGUGUGCCAAGAACAAUACUUAAGACCUCUACAGGGUUUAUCUCAUUUAACCCCCAUGGGACCUGCUGUGUCUGUUUUCAAGAGGAGGUUCAGAGAGGUUGAUUAUCCCACCCAAAGUCACAUGACCUCUCGUGACCUCAGCUUUGAAGAUCUGCUGCCUGUCUUCUUCUUCCUCUUCCUUCUUCUUCUGCCCUUCUGGUUUUCUGAGACAAGGUCUUACCUGUAGCCCAGGCUGUCCUGGAACUCACUAUGUAGACCAGGUUGGUCUCAAACUCUCCUGGGUGCUGGAAUCAAAGGCGUGCCACCAUGCCCAGCUGCUUGCGGCUUGUGUUCCUAAAUCACCCUCCCUCCCCCACACCAUUGCCUCUGGUGAAGACCGACUGUCAGGCCACGAUUUCUUUGUAGAAAAAUAAACUGGGAACUUCUGGGCAUUUAAAAAGUGGAUCUGAGUGCCACGUUGGAUGUGAAGAAAGCCAGAGUUGUUAUGGUUGUGUUCCCCGGCCUGAGAAAUGAACUGGCUCCUUUCACCAGGACGGUCUGAGGAACAAUGAAGCUACAAACGAAAACACACAACAAUGGGGUCCAUGGCAUUUUCAGAGAACUGGUGUGGUUCUUGUUGGAGAAAUUCUCUCUCAAAACAAGAGUCCAAUGGCUGAGACUCUUGGUGAUAAAUAGCUUGCUGUGACAGAGGAACCAUCCUGCUCCCCCACCCCCGUGUCGGAAAAUUAUUUACCAUCCCAUCAGCUGAAGUACCGAAGACAUGUUCUGUUUGAAUUAACUGGGGGAAGAGGGACUCGUGUCAGUCAGCGGGCUGCGAUGAUGGCAGCCGCAGUCUCACGAGGCAGACAAGAAAGAGACAGCAUUAUCCCUGGCGUCCUCGCCCAACUGAUUGGUGCUUUUAGGGUAAUUAAUCCUCGUUUCAAGUAUAAUUGGACUCUUAUUGAUCGAAGCAGCAACGUACGAUGUGGCCCAUGGAACACAGAAAGACAGACUUCCUUCCCAGCAGAACACGGUUAAUUUGAACUCCAGAUUUUUCGCAUUUCAUUCACACACUUGAGCAAGCCCCCUGCUUUGCAACUGAUUUAGGCUGUAAUGUUUUGUGAGCUUAGAUGAGAAUUUAUUGUUAUUUUUUCUUCAGGAACAUAGAUUAUCAGGGAAUUUUCACUGACUUCCGCUUUGCUUAUCAGUUCAGGCACCAGCUUUCCAAAGCUGAGUGAGUCACGCUGCAAUGUUCUAAUGAAUUUCAGAUAGUGUGAAUUAAACAUUGACAAACAUCUGAGAAAACAAAACUACGUGUGAAUUACAAGGGUAGAUACAUUAAAAUUGUGGUUUAACACAGCUACCUUCAUUAAAGAAAAACAAAACAAAAAACCCUAACAGCUCAGGCUGAGCAGCUAGGGAUGCUGUGUGAGCAGGAGCCAAAGGACCAGCGAAGGGGGUUUGUGGGAAGUAGCUCCUGAGGUUCAUUCAGAGUCUGUGCUGGGACCUUUUGUGUGAGAAACUGUGCCUUCAUGUCAGGGAAAGGCGCCUGGGCCAUAGCUUCAGAUGAGAUACACAGUGUUUUUCUCUUCAAAGGCUAGAGAUUACCACUGCAGCAAGAAUGCAAAUUUCUAAACAGAUGAUCAUGACAGAUGAGAACAAAAAGUUGAAAUAAAAAUUUUCAAGUUCUAAUUACUCUUAUCAGCUAAAUCCAAAUCAUCUCAGUAUGUGAGACACACACACACACACAUACACACACACCCGCACACAUGCACACGCACACGCACACACACAUGCACACGCACACACAAACACAUAGACACAUGAAUUUUUUAUCUGUUUAGUGGCUGUACAUAAAUUUACUGAUAUUUUAAGUAUCCUCUGCCACCCCACAGUCCCUCAGUCAGCACUCUGCUGACCACUUAUGCCAAAGCCUGGUGGGACUUCUGGUCCAACCCCCCCAAAAAGAUAUCACCAUGUAUCCCCCCUUUUUUGUCUAAAAUUUA